rnacentral:rRNA from 1 species
CAACAGGGAUUGCCCUAGUAACGGCGAGUGAAGCGGCAACAGCUCAAAUUUGAAAUCUGGCUCUUUUAGAGUCCGAGUUGUAAUUUGCAGAGGGCGCUUUGGCUUUGGCAGCGGUCCAAGUUCCUUGGAACAGGACGUCACAGAGGGUGAGAAUCCCGUACGUGGUCGCUAGCUAUUGCCGUGUAAAGCCCCUUCGACGAGUCGAGUUGUUUGGGAAUGCAGCUCUAAAUGGGAGGUAAAUUUCUUCUAAAGCUAAAUAUUGGCCAGAGACCGAUAGCGCACAAGUAGAGUGAUCGAAAGAUGAAAAGCACUUUGGAAAGAGAGUCAAACAGCACGUGAAAUUGUUGAAAGGGAAGCGCUUGCAGCCAGACUUGCUUGCAGUUGCUCAUCCGGGCUUUUGCCCGGUGCACUCUUCUGCAGGCAGGCCAGCAUCAGUUUGGGCGGUGGGAUAAAGGUCUCUGACACGUUCCUUCCUUCGGGUUGGCCAUAUAGGGGAGACGUCAUACCACCAGCCUGGACUGAGGUCCGCGCAUCUGCUAGGAUGCUGGCGUAAUGGCUGUAAGCGGCCCGUCUUGAAACACGGACCAAGGAGUCUAACAUCUAUGCGAGUGUUUGGGUGUCAAGCCCGAGCGCGUAAUGAAAGUGAACGGAGGUGGGAACCCGCAAGGGUGCACCAUCGACCGAUCCUGAAGUUUACGGAAGGAUUUGAGUAAGAGCAUGGCUGUUGGGACCCGAAAGAUGGUGAACUAUGCUUGAAUAGGGUGAAGCCAGAGGAAACUCUGGUGGAGGCUCGCAGCGGUUCUGACGUGCAAAUCGAUCGUCAAAUUUGGGCAUAGGGGCGAAAGACUAAUCGAACUAUCUAGUAGCUGGGUCCUGCGA